GAUUUACAGAAUUAAAAUGAUAUUUUUAUCACCUCCAAACAUUGCCAAUUUCUCAAAUCUCCAUAUAACAUACAGCAAACAUGAUUUUUGUUCAAAGUCUUAGAUUUAUGAAACGAUUUGUCACAGUCAUUUGAAUGUACUUAAUAAUUGUUGAGGGCAAGCCUCCUCCUGCCGCAAUGGUGUGGGGCGUCAGAGGCUGUUGCCCCGUGGCCAACUCGAAGGGGCUGAAGUUCGACGCAGAGCUUUUUGGUUGAUUCGAAAGCCCUAGCCAGUGAUGAAUCCCCAGUAAGAUCGGAGUCUUUCAUUCCUCCUCCCUUCAGUCCAGUUUGAACCCGUCCCAGCAACGAAGACCUUCCUACUUUUAUAUGCUGAUUUAUGAAUCUGUUCCUUUUAACACUAUUAGUUUUUCUUCUGAAACUAAUGUUAUCAUUCUCUUCACUGUGACCAUGCGAGCCAAAGAAGAAACAUGACAGAUCAAGAGGAAGUAGCGGAUGAUUUGGCUUACCGCUUACCAAUUGCUCCAUGAAGUGCAGCGAGACAUUACUUAUUGGCAGGUCAAAAUUUCAGAGCUAGCCUGUGUAUGUGAAAAAGAAGGGGAGAAGAGAGCAAAAGGCUGAACAAAGUAGUGCGAUAACCUUUAUCAUCAUGAAUCAGGGCAGUAUCAUUUCCCUCUUUGUUGGUGUUUCCUAAUUUAGCUUCAUAGUUCCUUACAAUCUUUGCUGUUAGAAUUGCUGAUUGCUUUCCCAAGCAUUUCAUGGAAUUUAGAAAUCUUUGGCUCUGAAAUUUCUCUUGGAUAGUUUUAAUCUUCGUCAGGAUUGCAUGAUUGAAAGUAUUAGUGCUGAAUGUAAGAAGUGAUGGGAUAGUGCUAUGUUUUAUUCGAACCUCACUUGCAGGCUUCACAUUAUUUAAUGACUAGAAACUGAUUGAAGAUAUAACUGAGUACUUGCUUCUAAGCAUUUUACCUGUCUAACACAUGAUUAAAUGAAUAUUCAUGUUAUUAACGUUGGUUUGUGAUUUACUAGUCAAUGGAAAUGAUGACAUCUACCUAGUUCUUGAAAACUGAUUUUCCAAAUCAUUCUUGUAAAUUUCUCCUAUGCUUGUACUGAUUAAAUCUGGAAUACUUUAUUAAAGCCGGUAAUCUGAAUAUAGGAUAUAUGCUUUGUGGUCUUUAAGAGGGUGAAGUCAUCUUGCAUUUCAUAUGUCUGACAGAAUGUGUAAAAUGAGCAAUUUUUCUUGUACAGAUCAUUCAAAUAGGCCAUAAUUUUAUAGGAGAAAUGACUGACUGAAUACUUCUCUUUUUCUUCAUGUUUCUGCUGAAUUUAAGAUGAAUAUCAAGAAGCAUGCCCCAUCCGAAGAAUGCUUGGAAUCUAGAAACAUGAUAACAUGCCUGGUUUGCAUAAUAUCCCUUUUCAUAUUCUUGAAAUGAUUAAAGAUGGUAUAACUUCAGAGGUUUAUAGGAAGCAUCACCUUUUUCUUGGGGUGUUUUCUCCAUUCUCUUUUAUAAAUUGAUUCAAUUUAAAUAUACUCUAAUGUGGAAUGUUGAUGUGGUAUCUAAGUCAGAGGGAAUUGAUGAAGCCCUUCAACAAGCGCUAGUAUAGCCCAAGCUGUGUUCACUAGAUAACACUUAUUUCCUGCUAGAUUUGUAUAUACCUAUUUGGAAGAUUAUAUCUUGAUGAGAUCUUAAAUAAAUGCAUGAACUGAUAUGGGAUCAGAUUUUAGGACAUUAAUCCAACUUUUCCUCUUUCUACCAUGCUGGAUAUAUAUACUUCAAUUUUGACCACAUGAUUGUUCAUAAAUAUGAAUAUGUACUUACAACUUACAAGGCUAUUGGACUCUUCUUUCAAGAAAGAAAUUUUUUAUAUAGUCGAUAUCUGAAACUUACUAUUGAUGUUACACUGUCAUUGCUUGCUGUUCUCACUCAACCCUCAGCACCAGCCUCAGCCUCUCGACCCCGACAAGCUCCAGGACCACUUCAACAAUUUUUAUGAAGAUCUCUUUCAGGAGCUCAGCAAGUUGGAAAUGUAUAUGUUCAGUAAAAAGAGGAAGAUCAUGCCCCCAAUGCUCUGAUGAACCUCACUGGAAGAUUUCAUUCAGUCAAGGAAAUGAUCUUAGAAAGAAGACAAUGAACUCUGUCUUCUGGAACUCAAACAUGACUCAAUGUCUUGAUUACUAGCUCAGGGAUAACACAUCUGAGUGUUGUUGAAAGUCUCAAAACUUCUGGCCUGCUUCGUGCUGCUGGAAUUGCAACUUCUUUGAGUGAUUCAGGACAAAAGUGGCCUUGGAUUAUGUCAUAGCAGAAGCAGGGCAACAAGGAAUUAGGCUACUCCUUAGCUUAGUAAAUAACUUGGAAGGAUUAGGUGGGAAGCCUCAGUAUGUCAAAUGGGCUAAGCUCGUCUGAUGAUUCUUUCUUCUUUGAUCCAUCAAUCCGUAGUUAUUUCAAGAAUUACAUCAAGACUAUCUUGACAAGGAAAAAUACUAUCACUGGAAUUGAAUAUAGAAAGGACCCUGAUGCGGAGUGGAUAGAAGAAAUGUCAGCUUUUGUCAAAUUGAUUGACAAGAACCAUCUGGUGACUGUUGGGCUUGAAGGUGUCUAUGGUCCUCAUGACCCGAAAAGUUCGACUGUCAACCCUGGAUAUUGGGCAUCCCAAGUUGGGUCUGAUUUUAUUCGGAAUUCCAAAAUCUCAAAUAUUGAUUUCACCUCUGUUCAUAUCUAUGGUGACCAAUGGUCUUACAAGCAAGAAUUUGAAGAUCAACUGAAAUUUCAAAUUUGUCUCCGAGUGGAUGCUUUCCCACAUUGAAAAUGGUGAUAAAGUAUUGAAUAAACCUGUCUUGUUCUCUGAAUAUGGAUUGUCACAAAGAGUCCACAACUUUUCCGCGUCUGACCGAGAGCAGACACACAAAACUAUUCUAGACAUAAUUUACAAAUCUGCCAAAAGAAACAAAUCUGGAGCAGGUACUCUGAUUUGGCAAUUCUUGGUUGAUGGAAUCAAUGAGUUUUCUGAUGAAUAUGGGAUGGUGCCAGGGGAAAAUUCAUCAACUUAUUCACUGUUACUUCAACAGUCAUGCAGAUUGGCCAAAGUUAAGGGAUGGCCUCAACAGGAUGUAAAAUUCAAACACGUUUGUUAAGAAGGCAAUGGAAAACAAAUAUUAUAAUAUAAUAGAAAUUUAGAUAAAAGAUGCUUCCUUGGUUUAUGGAGUUACCGAGUUACACCAUGGAUUUUUGUACAAUGUUGCAGUGAAAUAAUUACUUUAAAGUUGAGUACAUACUAAUACACUAGUGUGGUAACCAUGUACAAGAGAUUUCUUAUAAAUAAAGUAUUAUUUAAACUA